CCUACCAGCGUUUGACAUCCCGCGCUACCCAGAGAGAUUUGGGGUUUCCUUCGGGGACGCGGUGACAGGUGCUGCAUGGCUGUCGUCAGCUCGUGUCGUGAGAUGUUGGUUAAGUCCCGCAACGAGCGCAACCCUCGUCCUUAGUUGCCAUCAUUCAGUUGGGCACUCUAAGGAAACCGCCGGUGAUAAGCCGGAGGAAGGUGGGGAUGACGUCAAGUCCUCAUGGCCCUUACACGCUGGGCUACACACGUGCUACAAUGGCGGUGACAGUGGGCAGCAAACUCGCGAGGGUGAGCUAAUCUCCAAAAGCCGUCUCAGUUCGGAUUGUUCUCUGCAACUCGAGAGCAUGAAGGCGGAAUCGCUAGUAAUCGCGGAUCAGCAUGCCGCGGUGAAUACGUUCCCAGGCCUUGUACACACCGCCCGUCACACCAUGGGAGUUGGUUUCACCCGAAGGCAGUGCGCUAACCGCAAGGGGGCAGCUGACCACGGUGGGAUCAGCGACUGGGGUGAAGUCGUAACAAGGUAACC
rnacentral:rRNA from 1 species